GACGAACGCUGGCGGCGUGCUUAACACAUGCAAGUCGAACGGAAAGGCCCUGCUUUUGUGGGGUGCUCGAGUGGCGAACGGGUGAGUAACACGUGAGUAACCUGCCCUUGACUUUGGGAUAACUUCAGGAAACUGGGGCUAAUACCGGAUAGGAGCUCCUGCUGCAUGGUGGGGGUUGGAAAGUUUCGGCGGUUGGGGAUGGACUCGCGGCUUAUCAGCUUGUUGGUGGGGUAGUGGCUUACCAAGGCUUUGACGGGUAGCCGGCCUGAGAGGGUGACCGGCCACAUUGGGACUGAGAUACGGCCCAGACUCCUACGGGAGGCAGCAGUGGGGAAUAUUGCGCAAUGGGCGGAAGCCUUAUGCAGCAACGCCGCGUGCGGGAUGACGGCCUUCGGGUUGUAAACCGCUUUCGCCUGGGACGAAGCGUGAGUGACGGUAAUGGGUAAAGAAGCACCGGCUAACUACGUG
rnacentral:rRNA from 1 species